UACGUAGGGGGCAAGCGUUGUCCGGAUUCAUUGGGCGUAAAGAGCGUGUAGGCGGCCAGGUAGGUCGGUUGUGAAAACUGGAGGCUCAACCUUCAGAGGUCGACCGAAACCAUCUGGCUAGAGUCCGGGAGAGGAGAGUGGAAUUCCUGGUGUAGCGGUGAAAUGCGUAGAGAUCAGGAGGAACACCCGUGGCGAAGGCGGCUCCCUGGUCCGUCCCUGACGCUGAGACGCGAAAGCGCGGGGAGCGAACGGGG
rnacentral:rRNA from 1 species